AUGGAGGCCGCGGAUGAAGUGCAGAUUUGGGCGCCGAUUCUUGCUGACCCGCUCGAUUGGCCUCCAUCUUCUGUUACUAUCCCUCUUCCAAGCCAGGUGGAAGAGUAUUUCAGUUAUGUGUAUGGCCUUGAUGGCAUGGAAAUCAGCAAACUUGCACAACAGCCCGAAGAUGAUUUGGGAGACCUCAUAGUAAAGCAAAAUUGGUGGCGUCGCCUUCGAGGUCCUCGCAAGAGGAGGAUAUUUCCUUGGGGAAGCGGGUGCAUGAAUUCUCACCGUCGAAAAAACAAUGAACAUUGGACACAUGAAGAAGUGAAGAAGCUGGUUAAGGGUGUCAAGACAUAUGGUGCCGGGCGAUGGACUAUGGUGAAGAAUCGUUACUUUUCAUCAUCAGUUCGAGACCCAGCACAUCUCAAGGACAAAUGGAGGAAUCUUCUCAGAGCUUGUGGGGUCCCAUGCACCUCUAAAACGAAGGAAAAGGCACAAAAGACUAUGUUCCGGCCCUUAGAUACAGAGUUGAUCCAACAGAUCCAAGGGUUGGCCAUCGAUUCAGCCUCCACAUCAAAAAUGAAGAAACGCCGUGGGAAAGGAACAACUAGCUGA
rnacentral:rRNA from 1 species